rnacentral:snoRNA from 1 species
UUGCAAGCCUCUAGCAUGGUUGGGUAUGCACUGACCUUGUGCAUUCCUAAAGUGCUUGAAAGAACAGUUUUGAAAUGGUUUAAGGCCUUGCUCUGCUCCACCUAUGGAGCAAUUUAUAGGAAUUUCAGACAGUU